ACUUUUAAUGGACAGUUAGUAGUCCGA
rnacentral:tRNA from 1 species